AACGCACAUUGCGCCCAUUGGCAUUCCGAUGGGCAUGCCUGUUCGAGCGUCAUUAUCCUCCCUCAAACCCCUGGGUUUGGUGUUGGACUCUGUUGUGCGGUGUUGGCACAACUGGUCUCAAAGACAAUGACGGCGUCCGUGGGACCCUCGGUGCAACGAGCUUUUUCGAAAGCACGCGUCGAGUGUACAGUCUCUCCGGGCCGGUCUCCUUGGACAUUUUUUCUCAGGUUGACCUCGGAUCAGGUAGGAAUACCCGCUGAACUUAA
rnacentral:misc_RNA from 1 species